rnacentral:rRNA from 1 species
GCUAAUACCGCAUACGUCCUACGGGAGAAAGCGGGGGACCUUCGGGCCUCGCGCCAUUAGAUGAGCCUAGGUCGGAUUAGCUAGUUGGUGAGGUAAUGGCUCACCAAGGCUACGAUCCGUAACUGGUCUGAGAGGAUGAUCAGUCACACUGGAACUGAGACACGGUCCAGACUCCUACGGGAGGCAGCAGUGGGGAAUAUUGGACAAUGGGCGAAAGCCUGAUCCAGCCAUGCCGCGUGUGUGAAGAAGGUCUUCGGAUUGUAAAGCACUUUAAGUUG